GAGGCCUGUAGGGCGCUCGCUCUUCGCUGGGCCGAGUCCCCCCGCGCGCUGCAGAGCAAUACAGUUCUGUAAAAGUUUAUUAUUCUGACGUUGGAAUAUGCUCCUUGGAGACAAUUCAGAACUUGCAGAAACCAGAGCCCCGCGGCCCCUCCCUGCGUAGACUGCGGGCGGCUGUCCCGGGCGUGGGCUGCGGCCCCGCGGGCCCAUGCGUGUUCUGGGGACUCUGGGGCGCUGGUUCAGUCCCGCGUGUGUGGGAGUCACGUUCACCUCCUCAGUGCCAGGUGCUGUCCGCGCACCCGUCGGAGCGCCUCGGUUCACCGUGCAGAGGUGUGGGCUCCGGGGCAGGGAAGGGUCCACCCCACCUCCCGCGCUGCAGCGAGCUUGACAGUGCUUGCGAAAGCCGUUCCUGUUCUCCACCGCGAGAGGUGCCUCUUGUUUCCAGUGAUUUAUUGCACUUACAACGUUGAUGUUUACAAAGAACCGCAUAUUUAUUCAAGCACAGAAGUUCGUUUCCCGCAAAUACACGUGUGAAGGAAAACCAGAUGAGUCAGAGUGUGGGAGGCCUUCCCAGCAGGAUGGAUGUUGGUUUCCUUGAUUUCCCCAGCACACCUGCCCCUGCCUGGCUGGGCAUCUUGAAUCAAUUUGCAGACAACUGCCAAGAAAAGCUUGAGGUGCAUUAUUUUCAGAAAUUGAUGAGCAAUUCGAAAUCAAACCAGGGUCUAUUGGGUGUUUACAGUGCCAGGAUCUGAGCUAGGGGCCAGAGAAUGAAAGCUAAGAAAAGACAGAUAGCAUCUCAAAGUCGUGGGGGAGGAGAGACAAAAACAGCAAAACUCAUACAAGUCAGGAUGAAGAAGUGGUUGGGACAGAGCUGGGGAUGAGCACUGAGGAGCUGGGGCAUCAGAGGAGGAGCUGGAGUGUCAGGGCAGUGCACGGAGUUGCUGUGGAAUCGGGAGGAGCACAGAGGAGCUGGGAGGAGCUAGGGAGUCAGGAGAGGAGCACAGAGGAGCUGGGGAGUCAGGGGAGAAGCAUGGAGGAGAUGGGGAGGAGCUGAGGAGUCAGAGGAGGACCAUGGAGGGGAUAGAGAGUUGGGAGGAGCAGAGAGGAGUUGGGGAGUCAGGAGGAGCAUGGAGGAGAUGGGGAGUUGGGAGGAGCACAGAGGAGAUGAGGAGUCAGGGGAGGAGCAUGGAGGAGAUGAGGAUUCAGGGGAGGAGCUGGGGAGUCGGGAGGAGCACGGAGGAGCUGCGGAGUCAGGAGAGGAGCAUGGAGGAGAUAGGGAAGAGCUAGGGAGUCGGGAGGAUCACAGAGGAGAUGGGAAGGGGCUGAGGAGUCAGAGGAGGAACGUGGAAGAGCUGGAGAGUUAGGGGAGGAGCACGGAGGAGCUGAGGAGUCAGGAGAGGAGCACCGAGGAGAUGGGGAGGAUCUGGGAAGUCGGGAGGAGCACAGAGGACACAGGGAGUCAGGGGAGGAGCAUGGAGGAGAUGGGGAAGAGCUGGGGAGUCAGGGGAGGCUCACGGAGAAGAUGGGGAGUCAGGAGAAGAGCACAGAGGAGGUGGGGAAGAGCUGGGGAGUCAGGGGAGGAGCAGGGGAGUCGGGAGGAGCAGGGAGGAGGUGCCAUUAAAUCAGGCCUUGCAGCCUGGGAGGAGUGUGACCCUCAAGGGAAAGGGAGUCAGGCCCAGGGGUUGGUGGUGGGACAUGGCUGCUUCUGCUUGGCUGCAGAGUGGGCAGAGUAGAUUGAAGGGAGCCAGCCAGGCAAAAUUCCCCGGGACCUCAACCUUUGAGGACACAACAGCACCACAGAAAAUAAGCCGAAUUGGCAAAAUGUAAAAAGACCCCGCCCCCAUCACCGUGCAAGGCUCUGGGAAGUGGAGAGAAAUCAACAGCCUCUCAAAGUGCCUCAAUGGCAGUUGCCGGGCUGGAAAGCCCCAUGUCAUCAAGCCUUUACCCUCCACACAGUGGAGGCAGCACUGGUUCCUUCCUGCAAUCGACAAAUACGUUUGAACAAAUAGAUGAAGAAUAUCAGUUGGAAGGUACCCAAUUAUAAACCUUCCUGGAUACCUGCUGUGAAUCUGGCUCUUAGAGUGGGGCACGUGCACUGAGCUAUGGGAAACCCCUUUGGUCCCCAAGCCGAGGGCCAGGAGGCACUGGAUGGCCACCUGCCACUCAUCUGCACUCCUGCAGUGAGGGGGCUGGGCAGGCCCUCCACGGCCUGUGCUGUGGAACUGAAUGGACUG
rnacentral:lncRNA from 1 species